UUACAGACCUCAAUAGAACAUUUCACCCUAAUAAAACUGAAUAUAAAUUCUUCUCAUUAGUCCCGGGUCAUCCUCCAAAAUAGAACAUAUUCUAGGACACAAGUCUAACCUCAGCAAAUUUAAAAGUACAGAAAUUAUUCCUUGUAUCUUCUCAGACCACUGUGGAAUAAAAGUUGAACUCAACAGCAACAGGAAUGUUCAUACUCAAACAAAGACAUGGAAACUAAAUAAUCUUAGGCUGAAUGACAGCUGGGUCAAAGACGAGAUUAAGAAGGAAAUCAAAUUUUUGGAACAAAAUUAUAAUGAAGACACAAAUUAUCAAAACCUGCGGGAUACUGCAAAGGCAGUCCUAUGAGGGAAAUUUAUAGCAUUGGAAGCCUUCAUCAAGAAAACACGGAAGCCAACAACUUAAUGGAUCAUCUCAAGCAACUGGAAAGGGAAGAACAUUCCAACCCCAAACCCAGCAGAAGAAAAGAAAUAACCAAAAUUAGGGCAGAAUUAAUUGAAAUUGAAAACAGAAGAAUCAUUCAGAAGAUCAACGAAACAAAAAGUUGGUUUUUUGAAAAGAUUAACAAAAUUGAUAAACCUUUGGCCAACCUAACCAGAAAUAGAAAAGUAAAAUCUCUAAUAUCAUCUAUCAGAAACUAUAAAGGAGAAAUAACAACAGACACUUCAGAAAUUCAAAAAAUCCUCAAUGAUUACUACAAAAAUAUCUAUUCCCAGAAAUAUGAAAAUCUGAAGGAAAUGGACCAAUACCUGGAAGCACACCACCUUCCUAGACUCAACCAGAAAUAAUUAGAAAUCUUGAAUAGACCUAUAUCAAUCACUGAAAUAGCAUCAACAAUAUGAAAUCUCCCAAAAAGAAAAGUCCAGAACCAGAUGGCUUCACAUUUGAAUUCUAUCAAACCUUUCAAGAGGAACUAGUACCUAUAAUAUAUAAUGUUUUCCAAAGCAUAGAAAAAGAAGGAAAACUUCCCAAGAUGUUCUAUGAAGCAAAUAUCACCCUGAUACCCAAACCAGGAAAGGAUUCAACAAAGAAAGAAAAUUAUAGACCAAUAUCAUUAAUGAAUAUUGAUGCAAAAAUAAUAAGAUCUAGCAAACAGAAUUCAAUAACACAUCAAAAAAAUUAUACAACCAGGGGCAGUGCCUGUGGCUCACAGGAGUAGGGUGCUGGCCCCAUAUGCCAGAGGUGGCAGUUCAAACCCUGUCUCGGCCAAAAACUGCAAAAAAAUAAAAAUAAAAAAUAUACACCAUGAUCAAGUUGGUUUUAUGCCAGGGUUACAGGGUUGGUUCAACAUACACAAAUCUAUAAAUAUACUAUAUCACACUAAUAAAAUAAAAAACAAAGACCACAUGAUCCUCAAUUGACACAGAAAAAGCCUUUAAUAAUAUCCAGCAUCCUUUCAUGAUCAGAACACUUAAGAUAAUAGGCAUGGGGGGGCAGCACCUGUGACUCAGUCAGUAAGGUGCCAGCCCCAUAUACCCAGAGUGGUGGGUUCAAACCCAGCCCUGGCCGAACUGUAACAACAAAAAAAUAGCCGGGCGUUGUGGUGGGCGCCUGUAGGCCCAGCUACUCGGGAGGCUGAGGCAAGAGAAUCGCUUAAGCCCAGGAGUUGGAGGUUGCUGUGAGCUGUGUGAUGCCACAGCACUCUACCGAGGGCCAUAAGGUGAGACCCUGUCUCUACAAAAAAGAAAGAAAGAAAGAAAAUAGGCACAGAAGGGACAUUUCUUAACCUGAUAGAGGCCAUCUACAGCAAACUCACAUCCAGUAUCAUAUUGAAUGGUGUAAAAUUGAAAACAUUUCCACUCAGAUCAGGAAUGAGGCAAGGAUGCCCACUGUCUCCAUUGCUAUUCAACAUAGUAAUGGAAGUCUUAGCCAUCGCAAUCAGGCAAGAGAAGGCAAUCAAGGGUAUCCAAAUAGGGUCAGAGGAUAUCAAACUCUCACUCUUCAUUGAUGAUAUGAUCCUAUACCUGGAAAAUCCCAGGGAAUCAAUUUUAAAACUCUUAGAAGUGGUCAAGGAAUACAGCAGUGUCUCAAGAUACAAAAUCAAUACUUACAAGUCAGUAGCUUUUAUAUAUGCCAACAAUAGUAAAGCUGAAAAUAUAGUCAAGGACUCUAUUGCUUUAACAAAAGUGCCAAAGAUGAAAUAUCUGGGAAUUUACCUAACCGUAAAUUCGGUAAAAGGAUGUGAAAGAUCUUCACGAAGAGAACUGUGAAACUCUGAGAAAAGAAAUAGCUGAAGGGGUGGCACCUGUGGCUCAAGGAGUAGGGUGCUGGCCCCAUAUACCAGAGGUGGUGGGUUCAAAUCUAGCCCUGGCCAAAAACUGCAAACAACAACAAAUAGCUGAAGAUGUCAACAAAUGGAAAAAUAUACCAUGCUCAUGGCUGGGAAGAAUCAACAUUGUUAAAAUGUCCAUACUACCCAAAGCAUUCUACAGAUUAAAUGCAAUCCCUAUUAAAGCACCAUUGUCAUACUUAAAGAACUUGAAAAAAUAGUGCUUCAUUUUAUAUGGAAUCAGAAAAAAACCUCAAAUAACAAAUGCAUUACUCAGAAAUAAGAACAAACCAGGAGGUAUCACGUUACCAGACUUCAGGCUAUACUUUAAAUCUAUAGUGAUCAAAACAGCAUGGUACUGGCACAAAAACAGAGCUGUAGAUUUAUGGAACAGAAUAGAGAACAAAGAGAUGAAACCAACUACUUAUCAUUUGAUCUUAAACAAACCUAUCAUAAUUGUUCAGUGGGGGAAACACUCCCUAUUUAACAACUGGUGCUGGGUGAACUGGCUGGCGACCUGUAGAAGACUGAAACUGGACCCCCACCUUUCACCAUUAACAAAAAUUGAUUCUCACUGGAUAAAAAAAGUAAGCUUAAGACAUGAAACUAUAAAAAUACUAGAAAAGUGUGCAGGGAAAACACUUGAAGAGAUUGGCCAGGGAGAAUAUUUUAUGAGGAGGACUUCCCCCCCCCGCCCCAGGCAAUUGAAGCAACACCAAAAAUACAUUACUGGAAUCUGAUCAAACUAAAAAGCUUUUGCACAGCCAAGAGCACAGUAAGUGAAGCAAACAGACAACCUUCAGAAUAGAAGAAGAUUUUUGCAGGUUAUGCUUCUGACAAAGGUCUGAUAACUGGAAUCUACAGAGAACUCAAACUGAUCAAUAAGAAAAGACUAUAUAACCCCAUUUCUACAUGGGCAAGAGACUUGAACAGAAAAUUCUCUGAUGAAGACAGGUGCAUGGCCUACAAACACAUGAAAAAAUGCUCAUCAUCCUUAAUCAUCAGAGAAAUGCAAAUCAAAACCACUUUGAGAUAUCAUCUAACUUCAAUAAGAUUAGCCCACAUCACAAAAUCCCAAAACUACAGAUGUUGGAGUGGAUGUGGAGAGAAGGGAAUGCUUCUACACUGCUGAUAGGAAUACAAGCUAAUACGACCUUUUUGGAAAGAAGUUUGGAGAAAACUCAAGGAUCUAAAAGUAGACCUACCAUUUGAUCCUGCAAUUCCUUUACUAGGUAUAUACCCAGAUGGUCAAAAAGCGUUUUACAACAAAGACAUUUGCACCAGAAUGUUUAUUGCAGCCCAAUUCAUAAUAGCCAGGACAUGGAAACCAAGUGCCCAUUGACCCAUGAAUGGAUUAACAAAUUGUGGUAUAUGUACACCAUGGAAUGCUAUGUAGCCGUAAAAAAGAUGGAGACUUCACAUCUUUUAUGUUUACCUGGAUAGAGCUAGAACAUAUUCUUCUUAGUAAAGUGUCUCAAGAAUGGGGAAAAAAGUAUCUAAUGAACUCAAUAGUACUAUGAAAUCAAUAUAUAAUCACCUACACACUCAUAUGAAUGGCAAAACAUAACUAUAGUCCAGAAAGUAGAAGGGAAGAGGAGAAAGAGGGGAGGGAAAGGGGGAUAUGGGAGGGAAAAAGGGUAUUUGGGGGUCCUCACAUAAUGUGCAUGAUGCAAUGGUACAUUUCAAAACUAUUAAGAAAUUAGGCUCUCUGGUCAUCAGGCUCCCAUUCAUCAGACAGCCACUUCUAGUGCAGCGCCAGCCACAUCCCCAAGGCACCAUGGUGAAAGUGAAGGUCAGAAUAAAUGGCUUUGGUUGUAUUGGGCGCUUGGUCACCAGGGCUGCUUUUAACUCUGGCAAAGUGGAUAUUGUCGCCAUCAAUGACCACUUCAGUGACCUCAACUACAUAGUCUACAUGUUCCAGUGUGAUUCCACCCAUGGCAAAUUCUAUGGCACAGAAAAGGCUGAGAACAGGAAGCUUGCCAUCAAUAGAAAUCCCAUAACCAUCUUCUAGGAGCGAGAUUCCACCAAAAUCAACUGGAGUGAGGCAGGCGCUGAAUAUGUUGUGGAGUCCACUGGCAUCUUCACCACCAUGGAGAAGGCUGGGGCUCACCUAAAGGGGGGUGCCAAAAGGGUCAUCAUCUCUACCCCUUCUGCUGAUGCCCCCAUGUUUGUGAUGGGUGUGAACCAUGAGAAGUACAAAAACAGCUUCAGCAUUGUCAGCAAUGCCUCCUGCACCACCAACUGCUUAGCCCCCUUGGCUAAGGUCAUCCAUGACAACUUUGGCCUUGUGGAAGGACUCAUGACCAUAGUCCAUGCCAUCACUGCCACCCAGAAGACUGUGGAUGGCCCCUCUGGGAAGUUGUGCCGUGAUGGUCAUGGGGCUCUCCAGAACAUCACCCCAUAAAUGCAUCGAUGUACACAGGUAUGAUUUAAUUAAAAAUAAUUUUAAAAAACAAAAAUAUUCUCUCAUUCUGUGAAUGUUUUUUCACUAUCUCAAUAGUCCCCUUUCAAACAUAAAAGGUUUAAUUUUGGUGAACUCUAUCUAAUAUUUUUCUUUUGCAGCUCGUGCUUUUGUCCCUAAAUUUCUUUACUGAGGACAGUAACUCACAGAUGUCAACACUAACCCUGGGUUGUUAGCGAACACUUUUGUGUUUGAGCUAUUUCUUCUUCUUUUUUUUUUUUUUUUUUUGUUGAGACAGAGUUCGCAGCAACUUCAAACUCUUGGGCUGAAGCAAUCCUCUUGCCUCAGCCUCUCAAGUCGCUGGGACUACAGGCGCCUGCCACAAAACCCGGCUAUUUUUAGAGAUGAGGUCUCAUGCUGGCUCAGGCUGGUCUUGAACCUGUGAGCUAAGUCAAUCCACCCACCUCAGCCUCCCAGAGUGCUAGGAUUACAGGCAUGAGCCACCGUGUCCGGCCCCUUUUUUUUGCUUUUUAAAGACAGAGUCUCACUCAAUCACUCUGGGGUUGAGUGCGGUGGUGUCAUAGUUCACAGCAACCUCAAACUCUUGGGCUCAAGCAAUCAUCUUGCCUUAGCCUCCCAAGUAGCUGGGACUACAAAGUACCCCACACAACUGGCUAGUUUCCAGCCAGUUUUUCUAUUUUUAGUAGAGACCGGGUCUCACUCUUGCUCAGACUGGUCUGGAACUCCUGAGCUCAAGCUGUUCUCCCCCCUCAGCCUCCCAGAGUGCUGUGAUUACAGGUGUGAGCUGCUCUUAAUGGUAAGCCAUUUUGUUUGAGGCCUAUCUUUAACGGACACUAAUACCAAAGUUCUUUUUUAGUAAAGGUUUAUGGGUGAUCUGUUUCUGUUUACAUGAAAAUGUCUCCUCUUUAAAAAAAAUUAUGGGUGGCUCCAGUAGCUCAGUGGGUAAGGACACCGGCCACAUACACUGGGGCUGGCAGGUUCAAACCCAGCCCAGGCCUGCUAAAACAACAAUGACAACUGCAACCAAAAAAAAAAAAAAAAAAUAGCUGGGCAUUGUGGCGGGCGCCUGUAGUCCCAGCUACUUGGGAGGCUGAGGCAAGAAAUCAUUUAAGCCCAGGAGUCUGAGGUUGCUGUGAGCUGUGACAUCACAGCACUUUACCAAGGUUGACAAAGUGAGACUCUGUCUCAAAAAAGAAAAUGUUUCUUCUUUACUUCAGUCUAGAAAUAAAGUUUUGGUGUUUUGGUAAGUGGUUCUGGUUUGAACUGAAUUAUUUUCUUGAAAAUAACAGUUUUGCUUUUCACUUACAGGUGAUGUUUCAUCCCCUCUCCACCCUAGUGUUUGGUCAAGAAUACCAAUGGAGACCUGAUACUACGUUUCUAAAUGUUCCAAUGUCAUAAAUGAAAAUAAUUUAAAUGAAUCAAAAUUUCAUUACGUUUCAACGUUUAAGUCCUAAAAUGCUUUUAUGAAAAUGAAAAGGUCGCUAACACGGCUCUCAGUAGCUGCGCAGCUGCCACACACGGUCCGCCGAGGCCAACCUUAGGGUGGCGGGACCACAACUUCGUGGGAGCCCCGCAGUUCCUCCCAAGAAAGAGCGUGGUCCGUGGUCACGCGAGAGAGGAUCGUGGGGUGCUGGGGCUGGGGCGCGGGGACCUGGAGUAGCGCGAAGGGGAGGGGUCGGAGAAGGGGGCGUGGGAGAGGGGGGCGGGCCCGCUCCUUCCCGCGAUCCUCCAGG